rnacentral:rRNA from 1 species
AACGAACGCUAGCGGCGCGCCUAACACAUGCAAGUCGCACGAGAAAGGGCUUCGGCCCCGGUAAAGUGGCGCACGGGUGAGUAACACGUGGGUAACCUGCCCUCGAGCGGGGGAUAACGGUCCGAAAGGACCGCUAAUACCGCAUAAGACCACGAUCUCGAAGGAGAGCGAGGUAAAAGCUGGCCUCUAUACAUAAGCUAGCACUUGAGGAUGGGCCCGCGGCGCAUCAGGUAGUUGGUGAGGUAAUGGCUCACCAAGCCUAAGACGCGUAGCUGGUCUGAGAGGAUGAUCAGCCACACUGGAACUGAGACACGGUCCAGACUCCUACGGGAGGCAGCAGUGGGGAAUCUUGCGCAAUGGGCGAAAGCCUGACGCAGCGACGCCGCGUGAGUGAUGAAGGCCUUCGGGUUGUAAAGCUCUGUGGGGCGAGACGAAUAAGUGCAGCCGAAUACGCUGUAUGAUGACGGUAUCGCCUUAGCAAGCACCGGCUAACUCUGUGCCAGCAGCCGCCGUAA